CAGGCGGCCCUGCGCAACAGGAAGGUGUGAACCUCGUCAGGUCCGGAAGGAAGCAGCGAUAAGCAUUUUUUUCUGUGUGCCGCGGCAAGUCGCCUGUGG
rnacentral:SRP_RNA from 1 species